AAUAAAAAUAAGGGCUCUCCAAAUUAUCUCUAAGUUACAGUCUGAAGAUAUAUUCUCCUGAAUACUCAUAUUAUAAAAGCUUUUGAGGUAGUGGCGCUUGAGCAUAGAUGUGAUGUUUUGGAUGAGGGAUUACGGAUAUAAGCAUGUAGAUAUGAAAUAAUGUUAUAUGGCAGACUUGUUGGAUCUGGUACUUACACACAAGGCUGGAAAAUCCUCAUAUUUUUAUCAGAUAAGUUUUUCUUUAGAUUUUUUACUCUUUUACAGAGGUGGGGCAGACAGCAGGGCCAACGUUCCUUGUAUGGCAUGGAGCGGGGCUUCUACGACCUCAUUCAUGAAGGUCCAGCAGACAGGGCUCUCCCUGUCAAGGUCCAACCGAUCAAACGUCUCGGUGAGCAGGCCAGAGCAUCCACGAGUUAGAGUUUGGAUGUUGGUGACACCAAAAGGUCACUUCCGCACAAUUUCAAUGGUUGGACAAGGACUACGGCUGGACAUGUAGGAUCAUCGACAGCCUCCAGGAGGAUCUCACCACCGCCCGAGCAAAAACCAAAGAGUACCAGGAGAGACACGCGGCCCUCGAACAGAGCGUGAUCGAGGCUGAGCGGCGAUUAGAGGAGAUGCAUGCCUUCAUGGCUUCAUUCCAUGGCCCAUAGGAGACCACACGCCGUGAGUAGGGAUUAUACUACUCACAAUUUGUUAUAGAUUAAGAUUUACGAGUAAGUGUUGGUUCUACUCUUUCCUGUAUGUAGGUUCGACCCUACAAAUAAGUGAUUACACUAUUCAAGGGGUCGUUAUGCUGUAAAAAAUUUCUUUCUUUAUUUGAUGUAUUAUAGACCUUCAUAAAGGUCAAUUUUCCCAAAACUAUGUACUAAUAUACGUUAUCAAUGAAAUUGGCGUGCAUUUUAUUUCA